UUUUGGAGGUAAAGGAUAUUUAUGGUAUAGAUUGUGUUGAUGGUUUCACAGGUAUAUACAUAUCUCCAAACACAUCAAGUUGUAUACAUUAACCAUCUACAGCUUUUUGUAUGUCAAUCUACCCCAAAAAAGAGGUUUUAGAAAAAAAACUAAUAGUAGGAGUAAAAAGACAGAGAAUUGAAAAAAAAUAAUAAAUAAAUAAGGAUUUGCAAUGGCUAUGCACCUAUUAGUCAGAUUUGUCUCCUUCAUCCUCUUGCCUUGCUCCCCCCAUCAUCUCACUCACAUAUUCCCACUCCCUUUCUCACUCGGUUCCUCACCUGCUUCACCAAUCUCUUUCUUGACAUUCUCAUGGGUCUCCUAAAUCAUUUCUCUAAGUUCCCUAUAAACUUCAACUCUGUCCUUCUCUGGAGCCAGGCAUUAUUUCUUAGAGGCUGUCAGGCCCAAGUUUAUAAUGCGAUCUCUUCCGUAGAGACCAUCCCCUCCCACAAAUAUAAAUCUGCCAUCACGAAAUAAAGAUGUAGGUUUUAAUCCUGGCAUUUUAUUCUCUGCUCCUGACUACUUUGUAAUUUGGGACAGGUGAAUUCUAAUAUCGGUAUUUCGAUGCCUUCUUGUGUUUGUUGUUCUGAGGGACUAGAGAGCUACAAACAUUUUAUAAAUAGCCCGCUUCAUUUGGCUGGCCCCUGAAUUCCCCAGAUGUCAGGACACCAGUUAAAAUAAUUUCUGAUGGCCUGAACCUGUUAUCACUUCAGGCUCUGAGCCCGGACCUUUGCAAAUCAGUCAGCAGAGAGGCGGUUUACUAUUCUCACAUUUUUAAAGGCUUCUUCUGUUAAUAUUGCUUGACCAGAUUUUCUUUCGCUAGAAGGCAUGAGAUCAGUGUUGUGACAUCUAACAACGGCUUUUGCUCCUCGUCCCGCAGUGUCUGGGGAAUUGGUCAACUCUGCCUGCCUCUGCGCCCUGUUUUUCACUGCUUUCUCUCCUGGCCUCUGCUCCUCAUUCCCAGCACCAAGAAAGGCUGGGGUGGGGAGAGGGCGGGAAGUAUGUCCUUUCUAAUCUAUGCCUCUUCUUAUUUCUUUUCUGUGCAGUGUGUAUACACCCACUCCUAACUCAUUUUCAGCUUUUGGUCAAUAAUUCGCUCAAAUAUUUACGGAGUGUCUUCUAUGCACAGGCACCAGGCAGCAGCAAAUCAGAGCUUACAGUCAAACAGCCGGGGGCGGGAGAGCAGACAUUAAACAACUAUUUGUCCACUUAAUGAUUUAAUUAAAAUUUUCAGAAGUGAUAGACGGGAAAGAUGCUAUGAGAACAUGCAAGUGAUGACCCUGCCCUGUCCAGAAGGUCGGGGAGGGCUUUCAUGAAGAAGUAACCUUGAGUUGAGUAGAAAUUAAGGAACAAAGUGGCUAGAGGAGGAGACAGAGGGAAUCAGAGGGGCAGACCAAGAGGUGAAAAGGGUGUGGCCAUUGGAGGCCCUGAAAUAAGGCUCUGGGUGUAGAGUGCAGAGAACAAGGGGCAAGUGCCACAAGAUGAUGAUGGUGAGGCAGGCGGGGCUGGGUUUUGCACAGCCCAGCAGGCCAUAUUAUGGAUUUGGGGCUCUACCUGGAGUAAUGAAAUUUGAAAGAUUCCCAGUCAUCCAUAUCGCCAAUUUCAAGGUCAGCUCUGUAACAGAAGAAAACACAUCCACAUAUAUUGAGACAUAGCCCAAAUCCUAACACCAUUGACAAUUUAUAGGGAACUCCUCCAGCAGCUGCUGCUCUGAGGCUCUACUGUCCUGCCCAGGAAUGUCCCCGGUUACAUCAUGUUAACUGAAACAGCGUUGCGGACAGCAGUCCUGCUAAACGUGCUCAGUCUGGUCCCACCUUGGCCAGAGAUGAGGCUCCUGCCUUCGUGCCAGCAUCACCCCUCAGUGAGUCCAGACAUCUGAUGUACAGCAUGAUGAUUAUAGUUGAUAAUACUGUACUGAAUACUGGAAAUUUGCUAAGAGAGUAGAUUUCAGGUGCUCUCAUGACAAAAAAAAGUGGUAACUAUGGGAUGAGAUGACAAGUUACUUAACUUCACUUAGUAAUCAUUUCACUGUGUAUAUGCAUAUCUAAUCAUCAUGGUGUACACCUUAAAUAUAUACAAUUUUUGUUUUUUAACUAAAUUUAGUUUUUUAUAAAGAGGUUUAAGUCCUCGGCCUCCCAUCUGUGGGCACAUGCAAGGGCACUGGUGAUGUUCAUAAAUGAGAGGCAGAUGGGGCAUUGGACAGAGUCUCACUGCGCAGACGAUCAUGGCUCCAAAUGGAGCCUGCACUGGGCAUCAGGCUGACAGCUGACAGUGGGCGGUCUUUCCGGGUACCAGUGAGAUGACCUCAGGCUGCUUGGCUGCCAACCAGCAACCUGGAACAGGCCGCCUUGCUCGGGUGUUUUUUCAGUCUCACUUCUUUCCACUUGGUCCCAUAGCCCCCUCUUCUCUCUAGCCCGUAGCAUCCAUGUCAGAUGUCUUCCAUUCACCCCUUCAGAUCCACUCUCCAUCCUCUUCCUGGCUCUGUGUUCCAGAAGUUUGACACAUGUGGACUACAUCAACGAGCUCCCUUGCCCUCCAGUUUCCAGUUGAAGUCAGCCCAUGGGAAGCACUAGCAGGAGAGAAGAGAAUUCCCUGGUGACUGACCUGUGCAGGCCUUCAAACGAGCUGCAGGAAUUCGUAAGUGUCCACACCUCAUCCACGACUUCCUGAAGAAUGAAGAUCGUAGGCUCUGCUAGGCGGCAUGUCUAGUCACAUCCCGUUUAGCUGCAUUCAUGGGGAACUGUUGUGCAGCACUUUCCUGUCUCCAUUUCAGAAGUUGAAUGAUGCUCUGGAACAAUAAAGCUUCCCUUCGUCCAGGAAGAUGAGCCCAUUGAUCCCGGAGUGCUCUGACAUACCACGCUGGACUUCUACGAGCUGAAAAGAUGAAAGACGUUCUCUUCUGUAGUGCAGAAUCAACCCACUUGGCUUUGCCACCACCCGACAGUGAAACGUCGCUAAACACAUGAAAAAACUUCCCAUACCCAGGAGAGCCGGGCCUUGACCCUGAAUCUCCAGGCUCUGAGAAAUCAGAGACAUGGUCCAUUCCAACGUCUGAGACCCCGAGAGAGAAAGCCCAAGGUCGAAGUGAGUUACUGCCACAUCCUGGGACCUGCAACUACCACAAACUCCUCAAGGCAGGAACAGAAACAAAAGCAUUCUUCAAGCCCAGAGUCUGCAGAGUCCCUGGCAAGAAAUAUUUGUUAAGUGGAUAAAUGAAUGAAUGAGAAAAAAAUAAAGGAGCUAAAGAUAAUAGUGGAUUAAAGUCACAGGAGCGACAACCCCCGGCCUUCCAUAAAGCAGCAGUCUGCCCCCAGAAACAAGCGCAGCAUUGCCUGGAGCAGGAGAAGGGCGGCAAGGCUCCCAGCAAGCGGCCAG
rnacentral:lncRNA from 1 species